UACAGAGGGGGCGAGCGUUGUUCGGAAUUACUGGGCGUAAAGCGUGCGCAGGCGGUUUUGUAAGCCAGAUGUGAAAUCCCCGGGCUUAACCUGGGAAUGGCAUUUGGGACUGCAAGGCUCGAGUGCGGCAGAGGAGACUGGAAUUCCUGGUGUAGCAGUGAAAUGCGUAGAUAUCAGGAGGAAUACCGAUGGCGAAGGCAGGUCUCUGGGCUGACACUGACGCUCAUGCACGAAAGCGUGGGGAGCAAACAGG
rnacentral:rRNA from 1 species